rnacentral:rRNA from 1 species
UACGUAGGGUCCGAGCGUUGUCCGGAAUUAUUGGGCGUAAAGGGCUCGUAGGCGGUUUGUCGCGUCGGGAGUGAAAACACGGGGCUUAACCCCGUGCCUGCUUCCGAUACGGGCAGACUAGAGGUAUGCAGGGGAGAACGGAAUUCCUGGUGUAGCGGUGAAAUGCGCAGAUAUCAGGAGGAACACCGGUGGCGAAGGCGGUUCUCUGGGCAGUACCUGACGCUGAGGAGCGAAAGUGUGGGGAGCGAACAGG